UUUUGGCUAAAGCUACUGGAUUCUAUCGAAUCCGUAACUAGAACUCUAGCUCUACCAGUGGUGUUCAGUUGACCAUCCUUCUAUCUAUGUGGCUGACUCUUCAACUCCCUUUUGCAAAAUUACGCAGGAGGCUUUAAAAUUUCUGGAACAACUAACCACAAGCAUGGGCCAAGACGCAGAAUUAAGCAUAGAUAACAUUUAUGAAGGUGUUGACCUUACAGCAAUAGUAAAAUGGCAUUUAGAGUCGAAGAAGAAGGAAGUUCCCUUUACAAGAGGUUGCAGUUACUAUGAAUUAUCAAGAGAUUGAGAACAACUACUCAUUAAGAAUGCUCAAGUUAUUUCAGAAUCAUCUAUGAUACCAAGAAUUUUGGCAGUGUUCAAUAUGGUAACUUAAGUAUUUGACACCCCUGAGGCUGCUAGGAGUAUGUCAAUCUUUUUUUGUUACAUUUUAAAAUAUAACAAAUUAAAAAGGAAAAGAAAAUUCUCACAGGGCAUGAUUUUUUUUUUCCCUUUGCAGGGUUUGUAAAGAACCACCGAGAUACAGUUCAAAUGUUACUAAAUACCUACAAGAUUGUUAUGCAACCAUUCAUCAGUCCAAUUCUUGAUCGAGGCCUUCUGUCGUCGGUACCAGGUCUG